rnacentral:lncRNA from 1 species
UGCAAAAUACUUAACAUAUACAUUCCACAACAACCACAAUUAGGUCCAUUAGGAUGUCAAUGGCUUUAGUUACUAUUGCCUUAAUGAUUACUUUUUCUGUUUCCACUCAAACGGGUUUUGUCCUUUCAACUUUUUCUGCAUAGGGAGUCGAAGACGAAAAUGAACGUGUUAUGGGGCAAGACAGGCUGGAAAGACCUUCUAAAAGGUUACAUUUGGGAAAGCAAAAAGAUCAUGUUUCAUCAGCAAUGGCUAACUCAAGUACGACAUUAGCACUAAAAGAGGCUGAAAUGCCAAUGCCUAUAUCUGGACAGGGAAGUAAGAAACCUUCUCAACUAUGUUUAACUGACAUAAGAAGGGGAUCUAGUUCUCAGAUUCCUAAUGCACUAAAAGAGGCUGAAAUCCCAAUGCCUACAUCUGGACAGGGAAGUAAGAAACCUUCUCAACUAUGUUUAACUGACAUAAGAAGGGGAUCUAGUUCUCAGAUUCCUAAUGCACAAGUUAGCUGCAAAAGGAAGGACCUGACUUCAUCUCAUUUGGCCUUUCGCGGAAGAAAAUCAACUCAUAAUGGAGAGUCACAGGCAGUUUAUCUUAAACAGCCACUGGAUAAACAUGGC